AUGUCCACGCUGCCCUGUCUUUUGCGAUGGGGGAGCUGCACGGCUUCGUCGUCCCCGGUGGCCAGGCCCUCCAGGAGUGCAGCCGAGGGAAGUCCGAUUUCCUCCGGCUUGAGCGGGGGCUCUGGGAUCGCUUCUCCAUGGAGAGGCAGCGGACAGGGGAGUUGACCGCGCAGGUCGUCGCCGCUCAGCAAGUCAUCGACGACUGGCAGGCGUGAGCAGGUGGCGUGGGAGGACGUGCGGUGGGUGGAGGACAAGUUUCAGACCGUCGUCGAGAAGGCUUGCCUCGAUCUCGAGGAGUUCCAGACUGCUGCCGAGAAGGCAUGCCAUGAUGCCGAGGAGCUCGCACGGCUGAAUGAGGACCAUGAGGCUCUUCAGAAAGCCGUCGAGCGUAUCCGGUAGGAGCGGCAGAGGGCUUGGCAGGAGCGGGACUUCGAGCGGUCCGGAAGGCUGAGGCCAAGAAGAUAGUGGCCAAGCUUGGGGCGGAGGUCAGUCAGCUCCACGUGCAAGUGCAGGGGCUUUAGACCGCCGUGAUCCAGGGGCUCGACCGGGAGCAUCAGCUGAAGGCUCAGUCCGAGGAUGAACUCGCCCGGCUGAGGGAGAUCCUCGAUGCGGAACGCGCCAAGCACGGCAACUUGCAGGACACGGUCCGCAUUGUCUGCGAUGGUCUCGGCGUGGUCCAGGGGGAGGGGACGAGUUCGCUGGUGGCUCGUGUCCUUGGGAUUACGAGUGGAUCACUCAGUCAAUAAUAAUAGCCACUGCUGGUGCGCGUGGAACACGAGUGCCGGCCCAGUGAGCGCUAUUAGACAUCGUGCAUUAGGCAUCUGAUCAGCCACUGCUGGCCACAUCACAGCUUGCCUUGGGCUGCUGGUGCGCGUGGAACACGAGUGCCGGCCCAGUUGGCGCUAAGACAUCGUGCGUUAAGUCUGAGGUGCUGGGACAACUGCCUCUUGCUUCCCCACCAUAUCAGCAACGAUCACUUUCUUCUAACUCCUGCUUGACUGUGACGGUGCUAUUAUUAUUGCAUGAUCAUCCAAUUGUGUCGUUA